rnacentral:misc_RNA from 1 species
UCUCCGUUGGUGAACCAGCGGAGGGAUCAUUACAGAGUUAUCUAACUCCCAAACCCAUGUGAACUUACCAGUGUUGCCUCGGCGGGUCUCUGACCUCCGAAAGGUGGUUAGGGGUACCACCCGCCGAAGGUUAUUACCAAACUCUUGAAUUACUUUGUAAUCUGAGUGUUAUUUUAAAAAUAAGUUAAAACUUUCAACAACGGAUCUCUUGGUUCUGGCAUCGAUGAAGAACGCAGC